UGUGCCUGGUGGCUGCAGCUAGGCAGCUGGAGGGUUCCUGAACAGCGGCCCAGCCGGGCCCCUGCCAGCGAGGGUGGAAAACAAGCAAAGGGCGCCCUGCCUGUCACCCCCAGGGCCCUGGGGGCCUGGCCAAGCCAGGAAAGGAGACGGAGAUGGUGAAAGAAACAGAGACUGAGACAGAGAGAUGGUAAACAAGAGAGAUGGUUGGGGCGUUCUUGGAAAAAUGAGGUUAGGAGGUGAAGAAGAGCCAGUCACAGAGAAGAAGAGCCUUUCAGCAGAGGGAACCACAUGUGCAAAGGUCCUGAGAGUUCUGGAGACUGGGAUCUUGUGUCUUGCACACCAGGGCGACAGGGGAGCUCACCCCUCCUGAGGCUAUUUUGGAGGUCUGGGUGACCUGGUCUGUGCUGUGGGUACAUCUCUCUUCUGCGGGGCCCAAAGGAACCCCAAAUCUGACGGGUUCAAAGCUGGAUGCCAGGUCAGCUGCCGAGGGCAGACGCCGCUGGACAGGGAGGGCUGGGCAAAACCCGGGGCCGGAAGUCGGUGGGGAUCAGGACCCAAAUUCACACCACGGGUGGCAGACAACUGAGGCUGUGGCAGGGAGGUGUCCCAAGAGUCUCGGGGGAGGAAACUGGCUCAGAGCCACGUGACUUGCCCUUGCCCGUAGGUCACUCAGAAAGCUAAGCCUGAACCCAUACCUGCCAGGGUCCAGGCCCUGGGUGCCCUCGUCCUCCUCCCUGUUCCUCGGCCCCGCCAAUGGUCACCCCAGACUGCCAGUUAAUUCUCAGUGCCUGGGGCAAAUGGGUGAACACAGCCGGGACUAUUAAAACGGGGUUCUAAUUGGGCCCAGCCCUGUGGGGGCGGGGCCUCGGGGCGGGGGCGGGGCCUGAGCGCCGGCUCUGGCUGGGAGCCCCUCCAGGAGCCGACCUGUGAGCCUGGCGGUUCCGAGUGGGGACUCCGGACCCUGCACGAGUCACCUCACUCCACUGGACUCCCUUUCCCUACCCGCAGCUCCAGAAGAAUGAUGACCUCCAUGCCAACAAAUCCUUGCACACGCAUGCCCAAAGCAGCCCUGUUCGCCGUUGCCCAAAUGUCUAUCGAGGGGUGAAGGGAGAAUCCAAAUGUAGUCCAUCCACGCUAAAGAAUAUUAUUUGGCCACAAAACGUUACAAAACGUUGACGAAAUGCUGCCACGUGGGUGAAAACGUGGACGUUUAUGCUGAGUGCAAGCCCGGCCGGAGAGGCCACACGGAGCAUGAUCCCAUCCACGUGAAAUGCCCAGAACAGGAAAACCCACAGAGGCGGGAAGCAGAUGAGUGGGUGCCAGGAGUGAG